ACUGAUUCUAUUCACCUUAUAUAUGCUUCCUUUAGGCAAUAUUAUUAGGAAACACUCCAUAAACUUUCAUUGUUAUGCGGAUGACACCUAAUUAUAUCUAUCGAUCAAGCCAGAUGAAACUAACCAGCUGUGUGAUCCUUGUCCUUCUCCUCAUACUUCCAUUUUCAGUCACGUUAAACUGGAACAUUCCUUAAGAACCUUAAUGAACAAAGACUAAAAACCCAACACAUAACUAUUUUCACCAGCAUACAUAUUAUUUUAGUAUUAACAGUCAAGGGAGCAAGUACUGAACAACUAAGAACAACACAAUGGACGACGCAUGGCUGUGUCCGAUAUCACUCCCUUGUGCACACAUGCAUCCCUGUGAACCCUAAAUAGUUUACAGUGAGCAGUAAAUUAAGAUUUCAGACACUUAUGAAUCAACAUCAUUUUGCAUCAUCACUGACAGCUGUAGUCCCACAACAGUAAUUUUCAUAUCUAUAAAAUGCGAUGUAGUGUGUUGUGGGAUUAUUUGCAGAAGGUAGUGUACAUGCUAAUGUUUUUUGUUCCAUUGUGGGAACUUUUGAAGGCACUAUAUGGAGCAUAAAUUUCACAGACAGAAUUCAGACACUCAAAUAAAAUGCCGUAGAGUAAAUACACUGCACUAUAUAGUAAAUCGGGAUUCAUUUCAGAUAUAGCCUAUGAUUACAGUUGCAAAGCUAGGCAAGACUAUCCCACGAGAGGUUCCUGUGCUAAAAUUACAAUGGAGUUCAAAGACAAACUUUGCCUUGCUAAUGUAUAAUGCAAUUUGAACAGAAAAGGAAAAGGGGAAACAAAAUUUGAAGAAAUGCUAAAUUUGGAUGAGACAUCACAGACUUUAAACUAUGCAGAGUGAAGGAAGCUGUGACCUCAAACCUGAUGAACUAGAUUCUAAAAUAAUUUUAAAAAAUUUCUCCCACUAAGUGAUGUUGAUACUCCCAGUUCAAUUAGCAAAAAUAAAACAUAUUUAAAUAAUCUUAAUGGGAACAACUAGCACAUCAAAUAGCUAAAAAUUAGCCUAUAAUCACUAAACACCACACACUGUAUGAUUUUAUCUGCCAACAGUCAACACCAGCUCAAACAGGCUGAAAACAGACAAACAGAAGUGGAACCCAAAUCAUAUUAAUAAUCUGCCUAACAACUGUAAUGUGUGUGUGUGCUCGCCUUGAGUUUCAUCACUAAUCUCACCAUCUGUUUAAGCAAUAGACAUCCAUGUUAAGUUAAUAAAUAUGAAUAAUUGUUUGUUGCAGACCUAAUUAUUAUACAAGUAAUGUCAGGCUUUAAGAAUAACAACUCAGUUGUAAACAUGUUUGUUCAUUUGUUGGCAUUACAUUUUUUUAAUGAUAGGGUUGAGAUGCACUACAAAUGUCUCUAAACAAGUACACACCCUUAGUUGAUUCUCAUUAUUUUUAAGUUGUGUAUAAAUAAUUGUUUUCCUUGCCACUGCCGCUAAGUGCCUGAAUUGUUGGGUCUCUGUAAAUAAUAUAACGAGUACAGUCUAGACCUGCUCUUUAGGAAAAGUGCAAUGAGAUAACUACUGUCAUGAAUUGGUGCCAUAUAAAUAAAAUAAAUUGAAUUGAAAUUAUGUUCCCAACCAAGUGCCUUAUACUACACAUAUCUGGCAUAGGGUUAGGAUAGAGAGAGAUGACUCAAUAUGGUUAAAAUUCCAUGUUAGUUACUGUAAGGCUGAACAUUUAUCAGAAUAUUCACAGUAUACAUUAACCUGUAUGUUGCUUGCUCCUACAUUAUCUCAACUGAAGUAAGCAAUCACUAAAAUAGCUAAUUUGAGGAUGUAGUGACAUGCACACACACACACAGUAUACAUACUUACUGAUUGCUGUAUGCUUAUUGUGUUUAGAAUAGAUGACAGUGAUUGUUGGCUGAAGUUACUGAUUAUUAAUCAGUGCUAAAGUUAAAUAAACUCAAUAACAGUUGGUUGUGAUGGUCAGUGCUCGGAUUCACACUCCACUGUCCAAUAUUAUUAAUGUAAGAUAGUACUUUAAAUAUCAGCCUUUCUAAGUGGACAGCCACCUUUGAGACUGUUUUUCACGUUUGGUUAUUGGUCCCUUAUCCCAGGGUGGUGCCCCGUAAUUAUUCAUCCAUAUUAAGAAUUUUGACAAUAUUAAUAAUUGUAUUAAUAUUCAUAAAUAUAUUUGAUAUUUUGCUAAUAACCAAACCUGUCCUACCUGAAUCCCAACAGUAACUUACUUGCCAAUUUCCAGUUACUAACAGUUACUCUAUAAUGAUAUUAUCAGGUUAUUAGCAUCAGCAGAGCACUGUAAUUUUUUGUGAGUGGACAAAGUCGACAAAAUUUGGACUUGUAUUUGAAUAAAAUUUUCUUUACGCAUGCACAGAAAUACAUUUCUUUUCAGACAUCCACCUUCUUACGACCCCCACAACUCCCUUGUUGCUUGCCUAAUCCUACAUUUUCUACAUGGCUCAAGACAGUUUUGGGAAGAACUUCAGAGCCUGCAGAACUCCUCCCCUUGCAAUUAUCUCAAGUCAAGCACCAGCAACAAAGUCCCCAGUCUACAUCAACAACAUAUUCCUAAUUAGACUUAACUGUCCUUGGGCACAGGAAUAACAUAUGUGACAUUCCCCGUCAAAGCCUAAUUGCUUUCAAAUCAAUGUACUGUAUAUUUAUGAAUGUUGUGUGAUUUGAAUUUAUUAGUAACCUGCCAAUUCCCAGUUACUAAAAAAAAUUUAUGUCCUGUCUAUUUACUCCUUAAUUUUGUCUUCUGUGUCAUACAUUGCAAUUGCUAUAUGUUUGAAGAACAAUGUUGCUUUAGUUGUAUGAAAAGCACAAUUUUGUAUUUUAAAUACGAAUUUCAAUUGAUUUUGAGUACUUUGUAAUUGGUAUUUGACAGGGAGGAAACAAAAUUAAAUCUAAUUUGUACCAAGAUACUUUAGAGUGUAAUAAUUUUGUAUUUUCAAAAUAUUUUCUCAAUGAUUCAUAUACAUAAAAAAACAAGAUUAAGUCAAAACCUAGCAUAUGGCUGGACCGUGUAUUACUGAGCAAGAGGGCUUUUAAUUUCAAACGGAUACAGGAAGUCGCAGCAUCCAGCCCAUCUGGCCUGAGCUGAGGACGAGAACUUCAUAAUUUCUGGACUUUUACUUACAGUUUGUGGACUCAGGGUGACAGUCGGAGGGAGAAGGAGGAAAUGGAAUCAGAGGAGGAGCGCGGAAACGAGGACUCGAGAGGAUUUGCAAAUGAAAAGAAAAGGAAGAAGAGUAAUUCAAAUGAUUGAGGAAAGAGGAGACAUAUCUUUGGGAUGGUAGCUGUGACACAGACAGACAGGAUUUUCAAGGAUCCACAUGAGUGCUAUCGGACAAUUUCCACAACAUUCUGGAGGUCCCACCGAGAUGAUCUAACCUGCUGACCAUUCCGCAGAUCGGGACAAUCCUAGGGGACAGAGGAACCUCGAGCCCAUGUUUAAGAGGUUUUUUCAAGAUGCCUGAUGGUCAUCCUUUUGAGGAUCGAGACAGCAGUUUUUAUCAGGCCUGCAAAUGUCCACUUAAUAACGGCUGACGUACACCCAGAGCCAGUCUAUGCAGCAUGGGUAGAGGAAAACGAGCUAAUACAGGCAGUGAAAUCAUCACCAGGGAAGCAACCCUAGGGGGCGACGUGGACUUAGGGGAGACAGGGCUGUAAUUCCAUCACCGGGGGUGCAGUGCUGGUGAAGAAGGAGACAGGGAACACCUUUGCACAGGGGAAGAGGGCAAAGAACUUACACAAACUGAAUCCAUCAUCAGAGGUGCUGCCUCAGGGGAUGAAGGAGAUUCAGAGGGCAUUAGUCGUGCUGAGACGGUUGCAAGAUCUAAGACUAUGCAGUUAAUAAUUACUCACCAACCGCUGGAGCCAGUCUAUGCAUUUGAGGGGGAAGGGAGGUCAAUGGACUCACAUCUGAUGUUGAAGCGCUCUACAGAGAACUGAACAAGACAGAGUGGGGGAUUGAAAAACAUUCAGACCCUCAGACACCCACAAACCAUAUCGAUCUCAGCAUACCCAGUUCUUGUUACGGACAGAACAACCGGAGACAAAGAAGGUUUUGGGAACUGGAGCGACACACUCAGGAGACCGGAGACAGACGGGAGCCGGGGCUGGAGCGACACACUCAGGAGACCGGAGAUUACUGGAGUUGGGAUUCGGGGAUCGGGGUUCAAAGUGGCGGCAACCUUGACUUAACAUCGUGGGUGAGUCCGUGGAGUGUUCGAAGGUAGGUAGCGUAGCUCUGUCCUUCAUAUGAACGAGACCGGACCCAGACUGAGGUGAGGAGUGGGAAUUUAUGGAGGAGUAGAGUGGCUGAAUACGUACAGGUGUGUGAUGGGAAACAGGUGCUGGGGAUUAGUAUUCAGGUGAGGAGGUGUGGUGUGGCUGCGAUGUGGUGGAGCCUGGCGUGUCUGUGACAGUUCUCCUGUGCAGCAAGGAGGUGCUCGUAUUUCACCACAACCAAGUGUUGUGCGGUGAAGUCGAUUUGCAAAUGAUCAAAUCAGACAGUUGUUAAACUUUCCACCCCCGCUUAACACAGAUGGAAUAGUGGACUACGGUGUAUAUCACAACACAACUUUGCAACAAGCGGAUGCGUUGCUACAGCAAGCAAUGGCAUACGCGACUCCUCAAGAUGCGGUGCAGUUAUAGCUGCGCGGGCAAAAUCUUCAUAGUAACGUCUCGGCCGUCUCACAGAAUGAUGAGCUCCCCAGCCUAGCCGAUUUUGAAAGGCUCUUACUCCGUGUUGUGCAGUCCAACUGGGCCGUUAUGGCCGAUGGUUAGCUAGAACUUAUCGUGGAAGUGAUCCAGAACCCUAGGGGCAGGGGGAAACAAAUUCUGGGGAAAAUGCUAGACUGUAAAAUCACUUUUUAAAAAAGACGUUUUCUGUACAUCGUCCAGAACAGAGAGAAUCAACUAUGUUUUGCCAUCUGUCUUGCUCAUCUGUUACAACCCGAAAUCAGUGAUAGAGAAGCCCUCAAAUGCGGUAGACAGCUUCAAAAUGAAGCGGACGAUCAGACCGCUGUAUCCUUUAGUGACGUCCCAAAAUUUGAAAAGGCGUUGGACUGUAAAAUUGUAGUGUUUUACAGAACCGAGGAUGACAGGGCUCUCCGCAAAUUCUUGACAGAUAGCCCAAGACGGAGUAAAACCCUGAUUUUGUUUCUCCUCCAAAAUCACUACUAUGUAGUUAAAAAUCUCAAAGCCUUUCUAGGUUCGCCUUAUGUUUGUGAGCACUGCUUUGCAGGUUUUAACAGCGUGCUGGGCCAUACUUGCGACGCUCGUUGCAUCGUAUGCCUGGUUGACCCUGGUUGUACACAGACACCUGUUGUGUGUGUGACCAAUGCAACAGAAUGUGUCGCUUACCUUUCUGUUUGACCAAACACAAAGAACCAGAGAGAUCGAGAGGUCAAACAUAUGCCAGCGCUUGUGCCUUGUACAAAAAAUGUACCAAAUGUGCACAACUGUACUACUGUGCCAUGAACGGUAAUGGUAAACAACACAAGUGUCAGCGAACCAUUUGAGUUACACAGGCGAGUACCCACCCACGGUAUUGAGACCAUGACAACGGAGUAACUAAAAGACUUUUACAGCUGGUACGAAACGCUGCAGCAUGGCACAUUCAACGGCAUGAAAGAGGCACACCUCUAUUGUAAAAUGAUGUAGAAAUUCUCGCUAAGGGUUGCAUGCUGUUCAGAAAACAGUAUAUCGAUGAAACCGCUGUUGAUCCCUUCAGCCGAGCGACCAUUGCGUCGGCAUGCAUGAAGGUACAAUGUUUCUACCACCGAAAACUUUAGCAAUCCCCUCUCUGGACGACUACUGGGGUCAGUUCAAAACAUUUUCAAACGCCGGUAUCCAAUGGUUAGAGUGGUUGUCACAUACUCAUGACAUCCCUAUCCAACAUAAGGGGGAAAAACAGCUGGGGCGAGUCUUUGUAGACGGGUAUGCUGAGAUCACAGUAAUGUCUGAGUUUCUAGGAUGUUUCUAUCACGGGUGUUCAAUUUGCUAUCAAGCGCACGACACCUGUCCUCUGACGGGUCAGAGAGUUGCAAGCGAGCUGUGAGGAGAAAUUAUGUAAGUUAGAAGCCAUGCACAAGGUAAAACUCAUCAUGCGUGAGCAUACGUGGAUGAUGCUGAAGAAAUCUCAUCAGGAGUUGAAGGAGUUUCUCAAACAAUAUAACUCUCCACAGCCGUGGUCACCCUGCGAAGCUUUGUACGGAGGGCGUACCUCUGCUAUAAAGUUGAGACACACCAGUGAGUCGAACGAGACAAUCUCUUAUGUAGGUAUGACAUCUCUCUAACCUUACUGUAACACCAACUUCCCCUAUUCUCUCGGACACCCUGAAAUGAUCUAUAAAGAUUUCCAAGAACCUCAAAGCUACUUUGGGCUAAUCAGAGCAAGGGUCUACCCACCGAGAGAGUUUACUUUCCAGUCCUACAGUCCUGCCCUAUAGAACGAUGGGGGCUAAACUUGUGUUUACCCUUUGUCAAGCAUGUGCCAAACUCAAUUUGCAGGAGGGUCUGUGUCAGCAUAGCGAUGAUGACAGGGCGUUGACUGGUGUCUGGGUCACUCCUGAAUUUAACAAGGCUUUGGAGAUGGGCUAUCGGAUAGCUGAAAUAACAGCAAUAAGAAUAAAUAGAUGAGACAUUUUCAUCUUUACUCAUCUCUUUUAUGAUUUUACAAAAGGUAUCAGACACAGAGCAUUUGUUUGCUGCUAGCAAUGUGUCGCUUACUAUCUGAUCCCAAUUUUCAACAUUUCAAACAACGUCCAAAAUCUUUUCUAGUCUAGCGACUUCGCCUCUAAAGAAAAAAACAUUCACAACACGGGUGACUUUGUUUUUAAUCACCUGAUCUAAAACAUUGAUUAACGAUUACACGUUCCUCUAUAUAAGUCACAAGUUUUCUGCAAUAAUUACCCAUUUUUUGAAUCACUCAUUUCCCUUCCAAAAGUCCGCAACAUAGUUCAUCAGCUCAAUCUUUUUCUUGUCUUGACCGAUCAGCAGGUCGUACAUCUUCUCCAUUUUUUCUCCAAUGCGUCUUGUCAUUUUGAGGUUAUGAAGAAAGGCCUCGGAAGCGCCUUGGACUCUGUAUGCAGACACGUGGAUAUGGCAUGCCUGAAGCGCCUGUUGAAUGGCUCUUAUAAAACAAUCCGAAAAGCCGUUUCAUCAACUCAUUGUAGUGCCGUUGGAAGAAAUAAUCCGGCAUCUCAUACAGACAUUCAUGUUGUAGCUGACAGGUGAUCAAUUUGACAGCUGUUACAGAUUUCAGAUCUGUAUGCGGUCGAAACCUUGCUAAACAGGCAAAACACCUCGGCUCUCACCGUGUUCAGAAAUAGGUCAGAGAGCACCCUGUCAGGUUCGUCCUCUUUCUUGGGAGAGGGGGGUGGUGAGGCGCUUGAAGCUGAGGAUACCGAAGAAGAGGGUCAGUUGAGGGGGGGAGAUGGUGUAGGAGGAGGUAGAAUCCAGUCAGGGGUCCCCGGCAGUGAAGGUGGGGGUGUCGUAUCGAGGGUAGGGCUCCCGAUGUGUAGUGGUGAUGUUGCUUUAGGAACCGUAUCAAGCUCCUGCGGUGCUGCUGCAGGGUUCUCCUCUGGGAACGCAUGCAUGGUCUUCCUCCUCUGGUUUAGGCUGACAGCGAGGUGAUGGUGGAGAAGGGAUCGUCACAUUCCCACCCUCCUCUCAGAGCUUGCACCAGCCGUAAGGUUCAUGAUUCACAGCAAAACAGGUUGGUCGUAUCAUAAGAGGGGUCUCUGAUGGUGCUGCCACAGGGGUUCCGAUAGUAUCCGGGCUCCCGGGUCGCUGGAGCCAAGGGAGAGACAUGGCUUUUCUCAGUCGGAGACAAUUCUGUGCUUUCUGGUUGUGGUAGAAGAGGAAGAGACAUGCUUUUUCUCAGUGUGUGCACCUAUUUUUAGCGGAAUGAAUUACAGGGCGGAGUCAGAGGAGGAGGAGUUGGGGGUGGUGUCUUCUGUAAACAGAGUCUUUUUUAUCAUCAGACUGUCUCUCGAUGUCUGACUCCUUAGGAAGAGAUCCUUCAGUUUUUCUACUUUUUCAAUCAUCAUUUUCAUCCACACCUUGACGGGCAGCCGUAAUGACGUCUGGAACACUCUGCAUUCAGUAUUGAAAUAUUCCAAGAUGAAUUCGUCCAAGUGUUCAUCUCCUUUGACCACCUGACGGCUUGAACGGUAGAACCAUCUGCCAGAACCCGAGUUUUUCAUCUCCCAAAUGC